CAAGUCGAACGAGAAAGGGGAGCAAUCCCUGAGUACAGUGGCGUACGGGUGAGUAACACGUGGAUGAUCUAUCUCUUAGUGGGGAAUAACCCUGGGAAACCGGGGAUAAUACCGCAUAAGCUCGAGAGAGGAAAGCAGCAAUGCGCUGAGAGAGGAGUCCGCGGUCGAUUAGCUAGUUGGCAGGGUAAAAGCCUACCAAGGCAGAGAUCGGUAGCCGGCCUGAGAGGGCACACGGCCACACUGGCACUGAAACACGGGCCAGACUCCUACGGGAGGCAGCAGUGGGGAAUCUUGCACAAUGGGGGCAACCCUGAUGCAGCGACGCCGCGUGAGCGAUGAAGCCCUUCGGGGUGUAAAGCUCUUUCGGCAGGGAAGAUAAUGACGGUACCUGCAGAAGCAGCUGCGGCUAACUACGUGCCAGCAGCCGCGGUAAUACGUAGGCAGCGAGCGUUGUUCGGAGUUACUGGGCGUAAAGGGUGUGUAGGCGGUUGUUUAAGUUUGGUGUGAAAUCUCCCGGCUCAACUGGGAGGGUGCGCCGAAUACUGAAUGACUUGGAGUGCGGGAGAGGAGAGUGGAAUUCCUGGUGUAGCGGUGAAAUGCGUAGAUAUCAGGAGGAACACCGGUGGUGUAGACGGCUCUCUGGACCGUAACUGACGCUGAGACACGAAAGCGUGGGUAACAAACAGGAUUAGAUACCCUGGUAGUCCACGCCCUAAACGAUGCAUAUUUGGUGUGGGCAGUUCAUUCUGUCCGUGCCGGAGCUAACGCGUUAAAUAUGCCGCCUGGGGAGUACAGUCGCAAGGCUGAAACUCAAAGGAAUUGACGGGGGCCCGCACAAGCGGUGGAGCAUGUGGUUCAAUUC
rnacentral:rRNA from 1 species